GCCGGGUGCGGUGGCAUGUGACUGUAAUCCAAGUCACUGGGAGGCUGAGGUUGGUGGAUCAAGUGAGCUGAUGAGCUCUGGGCUGCAGCACACUAUGUUGAACGGGUGUCCACGCUAAGUUCGGUAUCGAUAUGGUGUUCCUGGGGGAGCCCGGGACCACCAGGUUGUCUAAAGGAGGGGUGAACCGGCCCAGGUCGGAAACGAAGCAGGUCAAAUCCCCCGUGCUGUCCAGUAGUGGGAUAAUACCUGUGAGUAGAUGCUGCAGCGCAGCCUUGGCAAAACAUUGAGACCUAAUCUUUU
ensembl:misc_RNA Metazoa_SRP Metazoan signal recognition particle RNA